ensembl:lncRNA
CUGGGUUUAAUCUUCAUUUAUAUUUUAAUUAUUCUGAUAUUAUCUGACUGUGUCUCUUCCUAUUCGCUAUCACUUCUUCUUCCUCUUUCCCCCCUGAGUGAACUGCCUCCGUUUUGACGCAUGGAAACGUUUUUAAGUGGCAAAGAAGAAUUGAAUGAAAGAUGAUGCAUGCCACUUAAAAUGCCUGAGGGAGCAAGCGUAAUCUAAAUUGGAUAUAGAAGCUAUUAUUACACAACAUUAUGCGUUGUGGCGGACUAAUUGCGUGGCUGGGUGCGUUAAACAGUCAGUUAAUGUCGAGUGGCAGACAGGUUUCUGGAGCGCACAAGGUCAGCUGUACUGCUCCCAAGCCUUUAGUGGUAUACAGAAAAAUGCUUGAAGUAUUCAUGGGAUUUUUAACCAUUCUAAAUCUGUGUCCUAAACCGAUUAGUUGACACCAAUUUUUCUUUGAUGUAUUAGCUGAGGGCUUUUGCCACUUGGAAGCCAAUUGAAAUUCAAAACAGUUUUCGCUCCAAAUGCUGUGGGGAGAUCUGCUGCAAAUAAUGGAUGUAAUUUAUUUUUGACCUUGCUUUUUUCUUUUUUCUUUUUUUUUUUUUUCAAAAGGGAGGGUUGUUAAAUGAUUAAACAUAUGUGCACUAGCUCUCGACUAAACAACUAGCAUUUGAUUGGCUAUUAUUAGUUUUGCAUUAUAGAGCUGUAAAUUUCCAUAUUUCUUAAAGUGUUAUAUAAGUGAUAAACAUGACUAAAAUUGUUAUUGCUUUUUUUAAUGCCCAAUUCACUCUUAAAAAGUUGCUGUUCUUGGUGUUAUUUUUCCUAAAUGAAUUAAAAAAAUAAUAAUUGACUCUUUGUUUUUGUUUUUGAAUCCCAGAUCCAUGUUGAUGAAGUCACCAAGCAGUCAGUGAAAUGCACCCUAACCUUCAAACACACAAGCACACUUGCAAAUACACCUUAAGUUAAAUAACCUUUUUCACAUUUUGAAACGAUAAUUAAAAAACACAGGUGGAUAUAUACUCAAAAAGUCAGUUCUGUGUUUAUACACAGAACUGACUGUAAUAAUUUAUCAGUUUUUUAACUCUCUUAUAGUUUUUAAAUAUGCUGCAUUGCUGCUAUUCCCGGGUUUUUUAUUCGAGAUAGAAUCCCUUAAUGUUUUACUUAGUAUCACCACUUUUCCUCACACAAACUGAUGCCCAUGAUUCGAUGGGUUGAUUUGACUUUAAUAAUCAUACAAUUUACAUGAAGCACAAUAAUAUGGCUUUCAGGGGAGAGAAUCUAUUUUUUGAUCUCCUUUCUGUUCUUGUGAUCUCUUUUUCUUUUAUUGACCUGAAUGAAGAUGUAUGGAGUGAGAGUGUGUGUGUGUCUUCGGUUUCCUCCUGAUGGGGUAUAUCAGCUCCCCCCACUUCUCCCUACUCCCCACGAUCCCCGCAAGGCUGAAUGGCAGGCCUCUGGAUUGGCUAAGUGAUGAAAUGAUGACCCUAUUAUGGGAAGCGAUUCCAAAAUGAGAGAUAUCAGACGAAGAUUACACCCCUCUCUCACUGCCACGCCAUCCUCCUGCAAUACACUGCCAGCUGCGCAGAUGAUGAUUGAUUCGCUUGAGAUGGAUCACAGGAAGCACCCAUUGAUUUUUCUGUGUUUUAUCAAAAAUAUUUAUUUACAGUUGUAUCCAUAGGGUGUAUCCAGACUCAACCCAUACUUCGUUCUCCAAAUGGGGGUUGGUAUAAAAGAGAUAAUUCCCCCUGUUCCAUGACAAGACGAAUGACCUGAAGUAUUACUUCAGAAAUGAGUCAAUAGGCUCAGUGAGUAAAUGAAUAUUGAUUGGAUAUAAUGAAGCCUGAGUGUGAAUAUGAGCCCUGUUGCAGACUUCACUGCAGUGAUGCUGAACCUCUCCAACUGAAUAUUUUGCAGACCUGCAUGCACAGCUGGGACUAAAUACACCUCAUUCAGAUGAAUGAGAGAUUCUCCUCCACGACAUCACCUCUCCUCAUCUCCUUCCCAGCCACUUUGGCAAGUUGUGUUCUACCUCCUACUCACAGCACCAGCGGGGAGUGAGAACUGGGACUAAGAGGUUGAUUUGGGGCCUGCUACACUGUAAUCAAAUGAGACUGCUUAGGGGAGAGGAGAAGGAGGAGUCCCGGUAGCCAUGUUUCAUAAACACGGAAUGGGAAACAUCCUCAGCAUUAGAAAUUUAGAUUGCUGCUUUCCUCCUGCCACUCUGCAUUCCGCACGUGCCCGGUCGCAUUCUCCAUCUCCCAAUGCUGAGUAACCAUUUUGUCCGACAUCUGACACACUGCCCUGGGUUAUUGAGCCAGACGUGGAAAUCCAAAGCGGAGAUGCUCUCCUUAAUGCCUGACACCUGGUGCAGAUUUGGAAGGGAUUGCACUACAGGGUAUGCUUUACAAGUGGACGCUACUCUGGAGUGUUGCAGCUCACCUUACCGCUUGCAGUCACAUCUGCAGACUGUGCUGGAGCAGAAUGGCUAGCGAACAUAAACACAGCAAGGACAUCAAAGGCCGGCAGUCUUAUUUAUUGAUAUUAGUAAUGCAGCUGUCAUUCUGCAAUGAGAUCUGUCCUGUGUCUGGGUGAAUGCUGAUAAGAUGACACAAUGCAAAUAUGAAGUGUGAUGGAGCCGCCUUGGCAAGCAGGUACAGAGUGUGCAGGGACCAGCAUCCCAUAAUGACUAUUAGCUGGAUUUCACAGCCUGCUCCUGAUCUCUUUCAGUGACAGGGGCCUUUAUAAGAGGCUGGGUGUGUCACUGCCCCUCCUAAUGGCUCUCAUAUACAUGUGCACAUGCACCGAAAUGGCAUAUACACAAAGAGGAAUAUCAUACUUUGUACAAUAAGUGUAAUUCUAUUUGGCAUCAUUGUGAACUUAAAAAAAGACACUUUUUGUAUCACAAAAAUGCUGAUAGAUUUUCUCCUUUUUUAUUUAUUUAUUUAUUUUUAGGUUUUAUGAAUAAAUGAAAUCAGAUUGCUAUAUAUUCUAAGCUGGCCCACUGGCACAAUGAAACUGAACUUCAUAGUAGAAAUGAUCCUUUCAGCAUAUUAUCGAUACAUAAUGUAUUGUUAUCUUAAUUUCACCACUAGUCAUCUUUACCAUAUUGUCAUAUUCUUCACCACUGCUGUAAAGGCUCAUUUAGAUUCGCAGAAGCUUAAAGAGCUCUCUCAGUUGCUGCUUGUAUAAGCUUUUGAGAGAGUCCCGUUUUAUCACUGAUGUAGUAAUUUCACUUCAUCAGUCAGUUGUGACUAAAAAUACAUCAGGGAUUAGCUUCAUGGCCAGACUAUCUUCCACUGCUUUGAUAACAUAAUGGGGGCUAGUGCUUGUGGUUACAAUCAUCUGAUAUAGGUUCAUAACAUUCGAAACUACACUUACAAUACUACGGGCUUUUUGAAAGAGAAGAAUAGAGUGUGAUCUUCUUAAACUCUCAUGAAAAUUGUGUGUUUUCCCUUUUAAUUCCUUUGUAGGAGCAUUUUGCAAAGAUGAAAAUUCCUCCCACCCCCACUCGUUCCCCUUUCCAGUUUCUAUUCUACACAAAUUAGCUAUGGUCCUGGAGGGCAAAAUGACAAGAGGUUACUGGAAGACUAUGUGUUUAAUUAAUUGAAAAAUGCUUAAAUUGCUUUUACAGUUGUUAUGUGGAGUGAAAAAAGGGAAUCCAUGUUGCCAGUACUCAACCAUAAUUAGCACCCGCGGGAAUUAAAUAUUUAACAUUAGCUGUGUUGCGGCACUUAGGACACAAAUUUCUAUUUUAACUAUGAAAGCAAGCCUGUCUUAAGUGCAUGAGUCUGUGUGGACAGCUGUGCAAAGGGGAACAGCACAGGAUAUUUCAGCGAGACACCCCAGUGGCAUUUCGGGUCCUUCCACAUCACAUGUGUAAGAGAUAUGGCAGUUGUAUUCCCAGGGGUUAGGCAUUACUCAGAGUAUUUAGUUUUCUAAUUAGGCUGAGGGCCUUCGUCCAUGCCUACCACCACCAUGGGAGCCAAUGAGAAUUUCCUCUCUUAUAUGUCAACUCUGAGACACAGAAAGAGGGGAAAAAACGGGAAUGAAAAGAAGGAGAUAAUCAGGACGCAUGUGUGAAAAUGAGAGAGAUGUACACAUGGUUGAAGGAGAAAUAAAAGACCUGCAGAAAAGCCUUUGUUUAUUCCAACUUUAAUUACACAUUGCAUUUAAUGACUCCACUGGUGUGUUUGAGGCUGGAGAGGGAGAAGCUGUGGAGCCUUAAUGAUCUGUAGUAGUGGAUGUCAGCCGAGCCAUUGGAGACUUAAAGCCCAUUUUUAAAACUCCCUUUUUGUUUGGGCCUAGAGGCGACAGCGCAAAUGGAGUUCAUGCUAAGCCACACUAGGCUAGACUUAGGGACUACUUCACUGUCUGGUCAGCCAAUUUCUCAAAGGGCCAGGCCAUUUGGAGGCAUCAGCAGCUGACCGCAGCAACUGUUAAGCUUGUCAGCGUGCAUCAGGUUACCCACUAAUGAGAAGUAAUAAAGGUUAUCCCAACUUUUUAAGUGUUUGAUCUUUGUGCACAGUGGGAUUUAAACAUAACGCAUGGAAGGUGAACCAAGAUUGGAAUUGGAAUUUGACCCUUAUGUUAUGUGUGAAUGAGGAUUUAGAAAUAGACACAAAUAAUUAAAAGCUCAAGCUCUGAAACUUGGAUGAAUAGUUUUGGAAUGUAACAUAUUGUGCGCUUAACUGAUAUAGAUAUUGUGGAUUAUUAUUUUUUGUGCAGGGAUGCAGGAUUACAGGAUUACAACCAGGCUUGAAGAUUGUCUAAAAUCAUAGUGGCCAACAAUGGUUUCUGCCAGUAUACAACAAUCGGGCAGCACAAGCUGUAUUUUUGAGAAAUUGCAUCUCGCUCUGGGGAAGCUGCAUCUUUACUAUAAUGUACUAAUGCUGGGUUGAAUCACUGAAUCAUGUUCAAUUAACACAACUGAAUGUAUGACCCUUUGAGAUGCAGUGUUAUUUGUUUUGACACACAGCUCUCAAAAAACGUACCCACCCCAUCUUCAGUGCAGAACGUUAAAACCCCUUGUUCUGUAAAACAAAUUCUCCGGAUUAUUCAAAGCUGUGAGAAUUAAGAUGGAAAAAUCCAUGCGUAAAAUUACCGUCCAUUCAACUUGAGGCAAUAUUUUCCUCUAGAGGCAAAUAUGUUAAUUGAGCUUCCUAAAGUAGCUCAAUCCUCAGGUUAUUUAAUUUCCCCAAAAGCCUUAGCGGUGCUGGGGUUGGUGGGGGGUGUAAAAUUCUUUACACCAGCAAUAUUGUCAUCAAGGGAAAAAUAGCAGCAAUGAGAAGAAAUGGAAAAGAGCAUACUGGUGGAGGUUGAACAACUGUUAGUUCAUGAGGUGUAUAUAUACACACAUAUACAUAAUAAAAUGAAUCAUGAGAUCAUGCAAAAAUUUCUUAGAUGUUAAUGUAAAAGCAAGCUGCUAAAUCACUAGUUUUCUGCCAGAAAAUACAGUUUUGAAUAACUCUAAACUGAGCUUAACCUGCCAAAGAAUCAUCUUCAUAACUGUCAUGUCAUCUAAUUGCUUCUGUCUGUUUUCCCCAAAGGCUGCGUCCAGUUCUGUCACUGGUCCUUAGUGCUCCAGCAGCCUGGUCAAAAAGACAUCCUGGCAGGGUCCCAGGGUGGAUGCAUCGCCCACGCACGCUGCUCUUGCCAGAUCCCAGAAGUCUUUGUGGUGAACCACUGACCGUGCUGCUCCCUAUUUUCUUCCAACCCAGCAAAUAAUGUGUCAGAAAAAGAUUAUUGAUAGCCCAUAAAAGAAGAGGCAGAAUGUUGUUGCCACUCUGCUCCAACUUUAAGGAACAAUACAAGUGCUAAACCAUCAGUUUCAAUGGUGCACUGCUCCUGAAAGAGCACAGCAUUUAUUUUUCACAUUGUUGUUCAGUUUGAAUAAAAGGUGCUACAACUGGAACAUGAACAGACAACAAUUACUUCUAUUUUUUUUAAAUGCUGCUUCAUUUUCCUUUACAUUU